AUUAGGUGAUUGUAGUUAUACACUUUCACAAAAGAUUUUAUCUUUGAUCUCUUGGCGAUCUUCUUCUUGCCCAUGGCAGCUGUCACUUUGCGGGGGUAGCGGUCAAUUCCAGCCACCAGAGCAUGGCUGUAGGGGCGAUCUGAGGUGCCAUCAUCAAUGUUCUAAAUGAGUAAGAAUUACAUUUGUUAUUCACUGAGGGCCUAUUUAGGCCCUGUGUUAGAGGUAGUGCAGUGUCCAAAAAAUAUUUCCACCCUCAGGUCUCCAAGAUCCACCAUUAUAAAGAGAAAAAUCACAGAAAGCUAUGAGAAAUGACCAAAGAGAAACAGAACAGUGUUUAUCUCCAUCAGGAAGCAUCUGGAACGGCUUACUAGAGAUUCCCAGCUGCAGCACUUCAGGUAAAUAACAGAACACCUCCAAACCUUAGCAACAGGAAGGAACCCCCUAUAGCUGGG
rnacentral:lncRNA from 1 species